GAUGAAGAACGUAGUGAAAUGCGAUAAGUAAUGUGAAUUGCAGAAUUCAGUGAAUCAUCGAAUCUUUGAACGCACAUUGCGCCCGCCAGUAUUCUGGCGGGCAUGCCUGUUCGAGCGUCAUUUCAACCCUCAGGCCCCCAGUGCCUGGUGUUGGGGAUCGGCCCAGCCUUCCUGUAAGGCCGCCGGCCCCGAAAUCUAGUGGCGGUCUCGCUGUAGUCCUCCUCUGCGUAGUAGCACAACCUCGCAGUUGGAACGCGGCGGUGGCCAUGCCGUUAAACACCCCACUUCUGAAAGUUGACCUCGGAUCAGGUAGGAAUACCCGCUGAACUUAAGCAUAUCAAUAAGCGGA
rnacentral:misc_RNA from 1 species